GUUUAUUCCCGCAUCUCUGCUUCUUACCAUCCCUCUGACCAGGGAAUAAGGCACAACAUUCCCUCAUGGUCCAUUGGUCCAUGAUGGUGUAGGUCAGGGAUAGGCCACCUUUGGCACUUCAGAUGUUGUGGACUACAUCCCCCAUAAUGCUCUUACACCCAUAAUGCUGGCGAGGUGCAGUCCAAAACAUCUGGAGUGCCAAAAGUUGCCUAUGUCUG